UUCGGACUGCAGGCUGCAACCCGCCUGCACGAAGCCGGAGUUGCUAGUAAUCGCGAAUCAGAAUGUCGCGGUGAAUGCGUUCCCGGGUCUUGUACACACCGCCCGUCACACCAUGGAAGUUGGGGGUGCCCAAAGCCGGCAAGCAAAUAUGCUGUCUAAGGCAAAACCAAUGACUGGGGUGAAGUCGUAACAAGGUAGC
rnacentral:rRNA from 1 species